rnacentral:rRNA from 1 species
GAUGAACGCUGACAGAAUGCUUAACACAUGCCAGUCAACUGUGGCGGACGGGUGAGUAACGCAUAACGAACUUGCCUCACGGAUAGGGACAAAAUUUGGAAACGAAUGCUAAUACCUGAUACUGUGAGAUAGCUUUUCGUCUCAUUAGCUAGUUGGAGAGGUAACGGCUCACCACGUCGAUGAUGGGUAGCCGGCCUGGGAGGGUGAUCGACCACAAGGGGACUGAGACACGGCCCUUACCCCUCCGGGAGGCAGCAGUGGGGAAUAUUGGACAAUGGACCAAAGUCUGAUCCAGCAAUUCGGUGUGCACGAUGAAGUUUUCGGAAUGUAAAGUGCUUUCAGUGGGGAAGCGGUACCAACAGAAGAAGUGACGGCUAAAUACGUGCCAGCAGCCGCGGUAAUAC